rnacentral:rRNA from 1 species
GCACAAGCGGAGGAACAUGUGGUUUAAUUCGAUGAUACGCGAGGAACCUUACCUGGGCUUAAAUGGGAGUGACAGCUGUCGAAAGAUGGUUUUCUUCGGACACUCUUCAAGGUGCUGCAUGGUUGUCGUCAGCUCGUGCCGUGAGGUGUCGGGUUAAGUCCCAUAACGAGCGCAACCCUUACCGUUAGUUACCAUCAGGUUAAGCUGGGGACUCUAGCGGGACUGCCACGUAAGGUGAGAGGAAGUGGGGAUGACGUCAAAUCAGCACGGCCCUUAUGUCCAGGGCUACACACGUGUUACAAUGGCCAGUACAAAGGGCAGCUACCGGGUGACCGGAUGCUAAUCUCUAAAGCUGGUCUCAGUUCGGAUCGAAGUCUGCAACCCGACUUCGUGAAGCUGGAUUCGCUAGUAAUCGCGCAUCAGCCAUGGCGCGGUGAAUACGUUCCCGGGCCUU